UGGGGAAUUUUGGACAAUGGGGGCAACCCUGAUCCAGCAAUGCCGCGUGUGUGAAGAAGGCCUUCGGGUUGUAAAGCACUUUUGUCCGGAAAGAAAACGUCGUGGUUAAUACCCGUGGCGGCUGACGGUACCGGAAGAAUAAGCACCGGCUAACUACGUGCCAGCAGCCGCGGUAAUACGUAGGGUGCAAGCGUUAAUCGGAAUUACUGGGCGUAAAGCGUGCGCAGGCGGUCCGCUAAGACAGAUGUGAAAUCCCCGGGCUUAACCUGGGAACUGCAUUUGUGACUGGCGGGCUAGAGUAUGGCAGAGGGGGGUAGAAUUCCACGUGUAGCAGUGAAAUGCGUAGAGAUGUGGAGGAAUACCGAUGGCGAAGGCAGCCCCCUGGGCCAAUACUGACGCUCAUGCACGAAAGCGUGGGGGAGCAAACAGGAUUAGAUACCCUGGUAGUCCACGCCCUAAACGAUGUCAACUAGUUGUCGGGUCUUCAUUGACUUGGUAACGUAGCUAACGCGUGAAGUUGACCGCCUGGGGAGUACGGUCGCAAGAUUAAAAA
rnacentral:rRNA from 1 species